UACUUCUGUCAAAAUGUGUCGAUGGGUUUGAUUGGUCCAACCACAAACCGGAAACACGUUUACAAUAUUUUAUCAACAUUUCCAUUUUCUAUACGUGCUGAUAUAAUUAUACAGCAAGCCCGUUUAAUCUAAAGGAAAAUGGUUUCAGACGUACAGCUAGCAAUCUUUGCCAAUGCUCUUGGAGUGUCACUCUUUCUGUUGGUAGUAUUGUAUCAUUAUAUUAGUGUCAAUAACAUAAAGAAACAUGACUAAAGAUAGAUCUUAUGGUAAACAGAAAGUGAGGAGUACAUGAGGGGUGAAUGUGAAAAUGAAGAUGACAAUAAUCAAGAAUACAAAUAAAUUG